GAUCAUGGCUCAGGAUGAACGCUAGCUACAGGCUUAACACAUGCAAGUCGAGGGGCAGCAUGAUUGUAAGCUUGCUUCAAUUGAUGGCGACCGGCGCGACGGGUGAGUAACACGUAUCCAACCUUCCGUACACUCAGGGAUAGCCUUUCGAAAGAAAGAUUAAUACCGGAUGGCAUAGUUUUCCCGCAUGGAAUAACUAUUAAAGAAUUUCGGUUAUCGAUGGGGAUGCGUUCCAUUAGG
rnacentral:rRNA from 1 species